UACGUAGGGUGCGAGCGUUGUCCGGAAUUAUUGGGCGUAAAGAGCUUGUAGGCGGUUUGUCGCGUCUGCCGUGAAAAUCCGGGGCUCAACCCCGGACUUGCGGUGGGUACGGGCAGACUAGAGUGUGGUAGGGGAGACUGGAAUUCCUGGUGUAGCGGUGAAAUGCGCAGAUAUCAGGAGGAACACCGAUGGCGAAGGCAGAUCUCUGGGCCGUAACUGACGCUGAGGAGCGAAAGCGUGGGGAGCGAACAGG
rnacentral:rRNA from 1 species